CACAGUUGGCAUUCAGUGAUGAUAUUCUGGUAUAUAUUGUUGAUUGACGGGCGGGUUUGGGUUGCGGGUCAGAAUGGGUAGUUCAAAACAGGUUGGUUCAAGAAGGGUUAUUUUUUUCCGGGUCGGGCUUGAGCGCUUAACCCAACGCUCGACGUAAAAGCAGCUCUGCGCGUGUGAAAUCGGAGAAGAAAGAAAACCAAAUGGCGGACACAAAGAAGAAAGAAACUACGGUUACCAUUGACAAGAAACUUCUGCAGGCUUUUACGUUUUUUGACCGAAAUCGAUUGGGCUACAUCAGGAUAACUUGAGUUAAUAAUUAAUAUUCACCAUCUUAUCAUGUGAACAAAGCAAUGUCUUAAUACCAUUUAAUUUAUACGUAUUUGCAAGUUGAAGAUUUACGACUGAUCCUGCAUGCAUUGGGGAGGGGUGCGGCUGUGAUGGAGGAGAGCGGUGGAGGGGCUGCUGGUUGUGAGGGAUGACAAUGGGGCGGGGAUGCCGGCGCGGCACAGACAUAAUAUGACAAGAAGAGCUUUUCAGAAAAAACAAACACCUCCUAAACAAAAACGUCUUCAAAAUCACCCGGACAAAGACCCAUUUCAUUAGAAAGGGCUGUCUCCAUCAUCCGCUUUGCGCUUUAUUAUGUCACUGAGCUAUAUUAGUACACUAAGUCAUUUAGGUUAUAACAAGUUAUGUUAUGUGUUAGUGACUUAUGUAUAAAGAUAGUUCCAUUAAUAUACUGAUAUGGACCUUAAUAGGCUUUUGUAUGUGUUAAUGGAAUAUAAUAUGUUACACUAAAAA